CGCGCACACCGCCGACCAAUCAGAGAGCAGCCGCCCCCCCUCCCGUCCUGUGGUCCGGAACAGCCCUGCCACCCAUGGGCGUCAGCGGGGUGGUAACUUCAUCCCAUGCGCACUUCUAGGCUGGGGGUUCCAGCUCCAAACCCAUCAGAUCCCGUAACACCCUGAUUGACAGGAAACCGGCCCUUCUGCAAUCAAACUCUGAGUCUUCUCUGCAUGGGCAACGCUUUUGCUCAAAUAAAGAGUGUUUUCGUUCUGGUUCCUGGGGAUCUCAGGCCUAUGGGAGCCCCAUGCUUUCUGAAGACUAAGCGGUUCCUUUAGGCUUCGGCAUGAGCACAUGGUGGGACCAAUCAGCUCGUGAGCCUUGCCUGCCUGCCAUCUGGAAAAGAACAGCUUUAAGCAGGUCCUGCCAAUAAUCACCCUGCAAUCUCUGAACAAAGGCAGAUGCGGUUUCACUGUGGUGAAAUCCAGAUUUUUGAUGGAAACAGGCUACAGUUCCAACAAGUAAACUGUCUACUUUGGGUUGAAGUUGUGUUUGGUUUUGAUGAGGUUGGGGAGAAAAUAAAAUGAACAGACGGACUUUAAGUACUUCAUUAAAUAUCAACACUUUGUUUGUUUCUAACACGCAUCAUCAGUAUGUGUUUUGUACAACACACACAUUCACUA